AAGCAAUCUUAUAAUCUUCGGACG
rnacentral:misc_RNA from 1 species